AGAAACGCGAAAGAUGACGUCUUCGUGCUCAAAGUUCUGUGGACCCCAACCCCUUGACAUCGCGUAGUUAACCUGAACGCCACGGUGAGAAUGUGAACUGUGAGAACCACUGGAAAACGGAUCGGCAGUAUUUCCUGAAGCUAGACCUCACUCCUAGCUGUAUCCCCAAAGGAAAUGUCAAGAUGUAUUUACCAAAAGAUCCUACUUCUGUGUAUGCCUGCUCCUGAUACAUGGAAUGUUGCUCUUCAGAAACCCACGAAUAGUUACUGAGGGAGUGUUUAUCAACAAGUAAAGUUAAUAAAAUAAUAUUCUCUAUUACA